rnacentral:rRNA from 1 species
AUGCAAGUCGAACGGUAAGGCCCUUCGGGGUACACGAGUGGCGAACGGGUGAGUAACACGUGGGUGAUCUGCCCUGCACUUCGGGAUAAGCUUGGGAAACUGGGUCUAAUACCGGAUAGGACCACGGUCUGCAUGGAUUGUGGUGGAAAGCUUUUGCGGUGUGGGAUGGGCCCGCGGCCUAUCAGCUUGUUGGUGGGGUGAUGGCUACCAAGGCGACGACGGGUAGCCGGCCUGAGAGGGUGUCCGGCCACACUGGGACUGAGAUACGGCCCAGACUCCUACGGGAGGCAGCAGUGGGGAAUAUUGCACAAUGGGCGCAAGCCUGAUGCAGCGACGCCGCGUGGGGGAUGACGGCCUUCGGGUUGUAAACCUCUUUCAGCAGGGACGAAGGGUGACUGACGGUACCUGUAGAAGAAGCACCGGCCAACUACGUG